rnacentral:rRNA from 1 species
GACGAACGCUGGCGGCGUGCUUAACACAUGCAAGUCGAACGAAGUGGCGAACGGGUGAGUAACGCGUAAUCAACCUGCCAUUCAGAGGGGGACAACAGUUGGAAACGACUGCUAAUACCGCAUACUGAAGGAGGGGAUUGCGUCUGCGGAGCCAGUUGGCGGGGUAACGGCCCACCAAGGCGAUGAUCAGUAGCCGGUCUGAGAGGAUGACCGGCCACAUUGGGACUUAGACACGGCCCAGACUCCUACGGGAGGCAGCAGUGUGGAAUCUUCCGCAAUGGACGAAAGUCUGACGGAGCAACGCCGCGUGAGUGAUGACGGCCUUCGGGCUGUAAAGCUCUGUUAAUCGGGACGCGGUACCGGAAUAGAAAGCCACUGCUAACUACGUGCCAGCAGCCGCGGUAAUUC